UAUAGAUAAGGAAAUUGCAGGAGAAAUAAAUCCAGAAAAUGUGUAUAUCUGUGGAUUUAGCCAAGGAGGUGCAUUAACCCUGGCUAGUGUUCUUCUUUACCCUAAAGCUCUUGGAGGAGGUUCAGUCUUUAGCGGAUGGAUUCCAUUCAAUAUUUGGAGUUAUGGAUCAAACAACGGAUGCAGAGCUCUUGGUAUUAAAAGGCAACAUUGUACUCAAGGUAACAAUAUCCUAGUGCCUAUCAAGAUUAGAAUAACAUCAGCUCAUCUCUGGUCUAGUUUCUCUAUCAUGAAAACCGGUUUUUUGGUUUAAACGUCUUGUUUGGUUAUGUAAACUGGUACUUUUGUUAACUACAAACAGUUUGUACUUUGCAUUGAUUUGGAAAAUUAUAUGUCAACACUAUAAUUCUUUUAUUUAGUCAACAAAUCAAGUGACUACAUAACUCGAA